rnacentral:rRNA from 1 species
GAUGAACGCUGGCGGCGUGCCUAAUACAUGCAAGUCGAGCGAACGGACGAGAAGCUUGCUCCUCUGAUGUUAGCGGCGGACGGGUGAGUAACACGUGGAUAACCUACCUAUAAGACUGGGAUAACUUCGGGAAACCGUAGCUAAUACCGGAUAAUAUUUUGAACCGCAUGGUUCAAAAGUGAAAGACGGUUUUGCUGUCACUUAUAGAUGGAUCCGCGCUGCAUUAGCUAGUUGGUAAGGUAACGGCUUACCAAGGCAACGAUGCAUAGCCGACCUGAGAGGGUGAUCGGCCACACUGGAACUGAGACACGGUCCAGACUCCUACGGGAGGCAGCAGUAGGGAAUCUUCCGCAAUGGGCGAAAGCCUGACGGAGCAACGCCGCGUGAGUGAUGAAGGUCUUCGGAUCGUAAAACUCUGUUAUUAGGGAAGAACAAAUGUGUAAGUAACUAUGCACAUCUUGACGGUACCUAAUCAGAAAGCCACGGCUAACUACGUG